rnacentral:rRNA from 1 species
UACAGAGGUCUCAACCGUUGUUCGGAUUCAUUGGGCGUAAAGGGUGCGUAGGUGGCUUGCUAAGUCAGUGGUGAAAUCGUCCGGCCCAACCGGACACGUGCCAAUGAUACUGGUGAGCUUGAGUGCGUGAGGGGUGGGGGGAACGAGCAGUGUAGCGGUGAAAUGCGUAGAUAUUGCUCGGAAGGCCAAAGCCGAAGGGACCCCACUGGUACGUAACUGACACUGAGGCACGAAAGCGUGGGGAGCAAACAGG